rfam:Lupinus angustifolius cultivar Tanjil chromosome LG18, whole genome shotgun sequence.
CACUACCCAUCACACCAUAGGAGCUGGUCAUGCCCGAAGUCGUUACCUUAACCGCAAGGAGGGGGAUGUUGAAGGCAAGACUAGUGACUAGAGUGAAGUCGUAACAAGGUAUGUAAAAUG